AGACCAGAGGAGCGUUCAGGAAAAAGGCCCGUUUAUUUGAGCACUCCAGAAACUCCGGUAACACUCCAGGGGGUAAAAGACUCCAUCCCAAACUCUGACUCUUCUAGCGUAACACACACACACCAUACACACAUACUCGUUUACCAUAACAAGUGGGGACCACCCUCCCCUCUCUGCUCAAUCUCCAGCCCGCACACUGACUGACAGCGUAGCCUGUAAACAGAGCUCAGCUGUUUAUUUAGUCUAGCAAUAUCUCCGGACUAUAGUAGCUGCAAUGGACGACUUUGAACACGAUUUUGAAGAGUUUCUUGUAGCGGACACAGACCCAGAGCCAUACCUGUUUGAGCCGGAGCAUACAGAUGAGGAACUCCAUGUGUUUGAUGCUGAGCGGGCGAGAAGAGAGGCUGAAUGCACAGAAUGGGAUUCGGUGCUACCAUUGUUAGGGAGAUAUAUCAUCAGGAGGAAAAGCGCCGCAGAGAGUGCAUCACAAGGAGUGAAGUUGUGUCUUCUUUUCCUCACAGAUGAUGGUUCGGGUUCAUUCUCUCCUGUUGCGUGAAUUCAACUGGAGGCCAGCUGAUCUGCUGUGUACAUCACUUCACACUGAUGCUGGAUGUGGUCAGAUGCAACAGAAUAUAUCUUUCAGCCAGAAGAGUUUCAGGCUCAAUUUGAUGCUCAUCUGCACGUGAACGACCAGGAAUCUAAACACUGACACUGCUGUACCAACACACAAUUUGCCAUGAACAGGCCUACUAAUAACAAAAUUAUCAUAAUUAUAAGAAACUGACUGACUCCAAUAAAAACUCUGGUCAUUUUUGUCUGGUA